rnacentral:rRNA from 1 species
GCUCCUGGCUCAGGAUGAACGCUGGCGGCGUGCCUAAUACAUGCAAGUAGAACGCUGAAGGAAGGAGCUUGCUCUUUCCGGAUGAGUUGCGAACGGGUGAGUAACGCGUAGGUAACCUGCCUGGUAGCGGGGGAUAACUAUUGGAAACGAUAGCUAAUACCGCAUAACAGUAGAUGUUGCAUGAUAUCUACUUAAAAGGUGCAAUUGCACCACUACCAGAUGGACCUGCGUUG